AACGUAGGAGGCGAGCGUUAUCCGGAUUUACUGGGCGUAAAGCGCGUGCAGGCGGAUUGGAGAGUUGGAUGUGAAAGCUCCCGGCUUAACUGGGAGAGGUCGUUCAAUACUUCCAGUCUUGAGUGCAGUAGAGGGAAGUGGAAUUCCGGGUGUAGUGGUGAAAUGCGUAGAUAUCCGGAGGAACACCAGUGGCGAAAGCGGCUUCCUGGACUGUAACUGACGCUCAGACGCGAAAGCUAGGGUAGCAAACGGGAUUAGAAACCCUAGUAGUCC
rnacentral:rRNA from 1 species